rnacentral:lncRNA from 1 species
GGUUUUGAUCAGGACAUAAAUAGAGCCGCCGCUUAAUUACACCCUCUCUCUUUCGUGUGGUCGUUCGAGUGGAAUGUGUCGCUACUGACCACCGCGUGUGGAGCUGCAAUUACGGUAAAUGCCAAAAUGUGGCUCCAUCCUUCACUAUUAAUGCCAGAAAUCGUCUUUUAAUACAUCUGUUUAGGGUAAUUGUUAUGGUAACUUCCGCACUGAUUUGAUUGUUAGCUCGCUUCUGGAGUUAGCGCCAAACCGACCUCAUGGUGUGCUCUGAGGAGGCCCUGCUCCACAAAUAAUGGGUCAUAUUGAAAGGAGUUAUGUGUAUCUAUGAAAAUACUUUACAGCAGGAACUGUUUGAUUUAACUAUCAACGCUGGAAACCUUCUCUUUUUAAUGUGACCGUAAGUUAAAGGCAGUUCAGUUUAUCAAAUCUCUACUUGAGGAUUAACAUAUCCACAUGUGUGCUUCAUGUUCAUUUAUUGCACUUUGCCCCAGGGAUGGAAAGCUCUUAAACCCUUUUUUCAUAUCUUCUCUCCUCAAAUGUUGUAUUUUCUAUUAUCUGAUUACUGAGAAGGGUUAAAACAUUCUAGUCUCCCUACAAAUGAAAAUGGUUCUUAUGAUGAGAAACAAAACCACGAGGAAGAUUUUUUUUUUUUUUUUUUUUUUUUUGUCCCAUUCUGUUCAGUCAAACCUUAAUGAUGAUUUGCAUGUGAGUCCGUGUUUCACCUGAACCUCAUGAUUACUCUUUCACUGCACUGAUGGGUUUGACAAUAAAGGUACCAGUGAGGAUGAUAAUUUUUUUCUUAAUCUCAUGAGACUAAUCAGUCUGUUUCUUUAUCAGAUUUCAGAGCCUGGAUUGAAGAAAUCUCUGCAAGGUUAGUAUUUUUAUUUUUAAUAACUCUUGCACAUCAUUAAUCAAAAUGUUUGCUCUGUCCAUGUGCUUAAAAUCAAUACAGUUAAUCAAAGCACUGCUACCAAUCUAAACCCAUGUUUUUUUUCUCUUGGAGACUGUAGUUUGCAGACCUCUAAAGCUGUUUAACUCUAAAAUAAAAUAUCUUUGGUUUAAUUCGGUGUCAUUGAUUUCAUGUGGAUGCAGCAUAACUAUAAACAAUAUCAUUACCUUAAAUGACCAAAACUGAAGUUGAAAACACUUCAAACUUAACACUGUUGGAUAUUAACUCGCCUUUUCUUAUUUUACAGGUAAUGGGAACUGUGAACACUGACCUCUGGGAUUCCAGAAUCUGGGUUUUAAAAACAGAUGGUUCUCCAUUCUGACCGCUAGUGUAUAGAGAUUUGAACCUUAUAAAAUAUUGCUUUUUUUUUUUUUUUUUUUUUUAAAUGAGUCCAAGCACAUGUUGAUUUAAAAUUAGAUUGUAACAGACUUGGUGUGCAUGAUCUAUUGUUGGGUUUGAUUGAAUAAAACUGACCUUUUUGCCAAACUGUAUACUGUCUCUUUUAAUUUGCAUAUAAUGCUCAAGAUAUUUUACAGUACAUCCUCCUUGUACAUUAAUUGCUGAAAGUGUAAAGCAAUAUUUUGUGGGUCAAAACCUGUUAUUUCAUUGAAAAAAAAAUGGGUUUCUGUAAUUUAAUACAUGCAACUUCCCCUUAAGUAAAUCCAGUGCAGUCAGUUGUAAAUAUUAAAUUUUAUUUUAGUUUCAUGAAAACAUUCACUUUAAAAUAGAAAACAUGUAAAAGUAUGUACAGUUCUGAUAUACAGAUCAGGUUGUAAAAAUAAAUCAGAUUUCUUGUACCUGCACAGCUGAUAUUCAAGUCUAACUUGUUUCUUACAAAACUAUUUACACAAAAA